AAAAAUUACUUGGGCGCUAUCAGUAUACAUUGUCGUGCUCGACAGUAGCGUUUGGACGACAUGAUUGUUCGGAAGCAGUGCGUCAUUAAUUUCAAAUCCGUUUUAACCGAUAAAUUGCAUGUGCGAAAUAGUUUUUGACACCGAGUUGUGUUUUCCUACAAAAGUGGUACUAAGUGUUCAUAGAAUGGAAUAGUAAUUCAAACGAUUGUCGUGAAUGUUUUUUUUUUACUCUCGGAUUCGACUCGAGUAGAUAGCACCAACGUUUGUUUAAUAAUUUUUUUUUUAUUUGAAGGACAAAAGAAUAAAUAUAUAUGAAAAAUGUAGGAAUGUACACGCGAUUCGUGAAAUAGAGCAUCUCGAGUGUUGAGCGACAAAGAGUUUGCCGUUAUCUUCGACGUGGAUUAAAAGGGUUCAUAAUUUUAUCGGACGAUAAUGAUUUGGUCCAUUUGACCUUUUAAUGAUAAAACAUGAACGGUUCUCUAACCGAAAUGGAAAUUAGUUGUCGAUAAAACAAUUUCAACUGCAGACGCCAAUCGAAAAAAAUUGAUACGGUAUCGGAGUUCGGCGCUUUUUAUCUUAAUACUGUUGGCCUGAACGUUUUAUCUUUUAUUCUUUAUCGAACCCAACUGUAAAACUCCAGGAAAGUCGACGAUCCAACACUUGACAGGUACGCGUGUAUAUGAAAAAGAUAAAUUGUCUGCUUCAAACUUGAUACAAUACAUCAGCUGGCUCCUCCUACGACUGCCAUCCCCUCCUCGCUUCAACUAUAACAAUGUAUCAUACAGUUAUACUAUGAAACAAAUCAUAACGUCCUCUCCACUUUUAAGUCGUGGACUUUUAGACCAAUCGCACUUGUUUAACAUCUUGAGCCAAGUUGUAAGGAAUUGUAUUUACUAUGCACCACCAAAAAUAACUCAUCUUUUCAACCGUACAUAAUUAUUAUGACAAAAAAUCAAUAGUCUAGACAGAAAAACAAUUUACAAUCAAUGUAUUUUAUAAAUACGUAUUAGACUAGCAAAUAAGGCAUUUACACUUUAAGGUGGUAAAAUAGCAUUUUUCUAUUGGCCGUUAAACAACUGGUAAAACCAAAAAACAAUUUUUAAGCCAUUUCAUUUCUUUACGUUUAAUCUAUUGAA